UACGUAGGGGGCUAGCGUUGUCCGGAUUUAUUGGGCGUAAAGAGCGUGUAGGCGGCCAGGUAGGUCUGGUGUGAAAACUCGAGGCUUAACCUCGAGAUGUCAUCGGAAACCAUCUGGCUAGAGUCCGGAAGAGGAGAGUGGAAUUCCUGGUGUAGCGGUGAAAUGCGCAGAUAUCAAGUGGAACACCAGUGGCGAAGGCGAGUCUCUGGACAUUUCCUGACGCUGAGGCACGAAAGCCAGGGGAGCAAACGGG
rnacentral:rRNA from 1 species